GGUUCGGUGGUGUAGUUGGUUAUCACAUUCGUCUCACAUGCACGUGAUCACGAGAGGUCCCCGGUUCGAGACCGGGUCGAACCA